AGGGUUAGGCCUUAGGAGUUUGGUUAAGGUUAGGAUCAAGGUUAGAGUUAGGGUUCAAAUCAGAUUUUUUUACUUUAACCAGCGAUAGAGAGUGAAAUCUCAAGGGUACUGAGGUCCAACCAAACUCUUAACAGAAAGUCAGCCUACUGGUUUAUGACAAGUGUCCACUUUUCAUUUAAAAUGUGUCCUUUUGGCACAUACUUUGCCUCCAUAGUAACAGGCACACCUGCACAAUUGCACAUACACUCCCACAUGUUUCUCUGAAAUGCCCACAGAAUGCCUGUUCUGGUAGUACCAUAUCCUGUUUUUUGAGACCCUAUGACUAAGCUGAAAGCCUUAAACAACACACACACACACACACACACACGUUUCUUAGAAACGUCUCUGUUCUGGUAAACAGCAGUAGAGGGUGUAGUCACUAGUUUGAGGCAAUGUUAAAACAGACUGAAUAGUUCGAUCUGAGAUCAUUCUUUGUCUUCCUCUCCAACGAACCAGAGUUACAUCUCCUCCAACUAACCAGAGUUGCAUUGAGAACUGGAGCUGAUGAACUACAGAACACAGCUUUUCUAAGAACAUCCAGGAAGAAGAGAAGAAAAACGAAGGAGACGUCUAUGUGUCCGACAUUUUACUCAGAGAUGUUGAAGUUAGCGACGUGUAAUUGUGACACCCAAUCAGAAUUCAGCCUCUGCCUGUCCUGAGCCACUGUAACAGAUAUGGGACGAAGAAGAGGGACUCUGAAGAUUCUGUUCGUGUUGACACUCUGUCUUCAAGCCUUCACUGCUCAAUGCCAAGAUUCAGAGCAGCCCUCUGACCUCAGGAUCGUUCUGAUAGGGAAGACUGGAUCAGGGAAGAGUUCAACAGGAAACACCAUCCUGGGGAGAAAGGUGUUUAGAGAAGACCUCUCCCCUGAGUCUGUCACUGAUCACUGUGAGAAACAGAGUGGAGUGGUGGAUGGGAGGAAGACUGAUGUCAUCGACACCCCGGGGCUCUAUGACACAACAAUGUCUAAAGAAGAGAUGAAAAGUGAGAUAGAAAAGGCCAUCUACAUGUCAGUCCCAGGACCCCACGCCUUCCUGCUGGUGAUCAGACUGGGGAGGUUCACAGAGGAGGAGAGGAACACUGUGAAGUGGAUCCAGGAGAACUUUGGAGAAGAAGCCUCAAAGUACACCAUCAUUCUGUUCACCGGUGGAGACCAGCUGGAGGACAAAUCAGUGGUGGAGUUUCUAAGUGAGAGUGAGGAGCUUAUGAAACUCGUCAAGGUCUUUAAGGGCAGAAAUCAUGUCUUCAAUAAUAAAAACAAGAAUGACCACACUCAGGUCCCAGAGCUGCUGAAGAAGAUAGAUGAGAUGGUGAUGAAGAAUGGAGGACAACACUACACCAAUGAGAUGUACCAGGAGGUCCAGAGGAAGAUCAAAGAAGAGGAGGAGAGGAAGAAACAGGAGAAGAAGGAGAGAGAGGAGGAGGAGAAGAGGAAACAGGAGGAGGAGACCAGAAAACGGGUAGAGAAGGCAAGAGAGGAGGAGAGGAAGAGACAGGAGGAGAAGAAGAGAAAGGAGGAGCAGAUCAGAAAAUGGGUAGAGAAGGCAAGAGAGGAGGAGAGGAAGAGACAGGAGGAGGAGAAGAGAAAGGAGGAGAAGAAGAAACAGGAGGAGGAGAUCAGAAAACGGGUAGCGAAGGCGAGAGGGGAGGAGAGGAUGAGACAGCAGAGGACGAGGAAGUCGUCGUCAAAUGGCUUUUUGGGAUUGUUAGCAACUGUUUUCACAGCGGUGGUAGCAGGACCAUUAGCAAUUCCAGUUGGAGCUGCUGUACUUGCAAAUGAAGUAGCUGAACAUUUAGACGAUUCUGAUUAAAUGAGGACGAGGAGGCAGUGUGAAGUACCACUCUCUUCCUCAUCUUAAUGUCAAGUAGUAGCAGUUGAUUAAUACUGUACAAUGACAAUCAUCAGGGAUUGUUCAUCACUUUCUAAUAGGAUCAGUUAUUUACCAUGUUAUUAUUCAAAGGCUCAGGGAUAAUAACAUACUGUAGGAUGACAUUUAUAAUUCAACAAAAACAAACAGACAGAAAUAUCUGAAAUCGUGUUUCAUUAACUCAGAGAUAGAUAAUACGUUAGAAUGGGUAAAGACAUUCUAGGUUUCUGGAUAUCUACAGUAUUGAUGUAUCUACCCUUCUUCCCUGGUCUGUGUUCUCCCUCUAGUCUCUCUCUACCCUCCCUCCCUGGUCUGUGUUGUCCCUCUAGUCUCUCUCUACCCUCCCUCCCUGGUCUGUGUUCUCCCUCUAGCCUCUCUCUACCCUUCUUCCCUGGUCUGUGUUCUCCCUCUAGUCUCUCUCUACCCUCCCUCCCUGGUCUGUGUUCUCCCUCUAGUCUCUCUCUACCCUCCCUCCCUGGUCUGUGUUCUCCCUCUAGUCUCUCUCUACCCUCCCUCCCUGGUCUGUGUUCUCCCUCUAGUCUCUCUCUACCCUCCCUCCCUGGUCUGUGUUCUCCCUCUAGUCUCUCUCUACCCUCCCUCCCUGGUCUGUGUUCUCCCUCUAGUCUCUCUCUACCCUCCCUCCCUGGUCUGUGUUCUCCCUCUAGUCUCUCUCUACCCUCCCUCCCUGGUCUGUGUUCUCCCUCUAGUCUCUCUCUACCCUCCCUCCCUGGUCUGUGUUCUCCCUCUAGUCUCUCUCUACCCUCCCUCCCUGGUCUGUGUUCUCCCUCUAGUGUCAGAGUUAGUGUUAAACACCACAUGAUUAACACAGGGAGUAAUGUUUUAAUGUACUGUACGUCACAACUGUAUUCAUACUGUACUUCAUUACUGUAUUUCUACUGUACUUCAUUACUAUAUUUCUGCUGUACUUCAUUACUUUAUUUCUACUGUUCUUGGGAAAAGAACAUUACAUUAAAAAUUACAAAGAGGGA